UACGGGGGGGGCAAGCGUUGUUCGGAAUUACUGGGCGUAAAGGGCUCGUAGGCGGCCAACUAAGUCAGACGUGAAAUCCCUCGGCUUAACCGGGGAACUGCGUCUGAUACUGGAUGGCUAGAGUUUGGGAGAGGGAUGCGGAAUUCCAGGUGUAGCGGUGAAAUGCGUAGAUAUCAGGAAGAACACCCGUGGCUAAGGCGGCUCUCUAGUACGGUACUGACGCUGAGACGCGAAAGCGUGGGGAGCGAACAGG
rnacentral:rRNA from 1 species